rnacentral:rRNA from 1 species
UACGUAGGGGGCCAGCGUUGUUCGGAAUUACUGGGUGUAAAGGGUUCGUAGGCGGUGCGGCAAGUCGGGUGUGAAAACUCCGGGCUCAACUCGGAGACGCCACCCGAUACUGCUCUGACUUGAGUCCGGUAGGGGAGUGGGGAAUUCCUGGUGUAGCGGUGAAAUGCGCAGAUAUCAGGAGGAACACCGGUGGCGAAGGCGGGUCUCUGGGCCGUAACUGACGCUGAGACGCGAAAGCGUGGGGAGCGAACAGG